UUCACACCUCGUUACCAUUGCAGUGAAUUCCAAAGAAAGCAUACCCAAAUGGGAACAAAGUUAUUUGAACGAAAAGUAUUCAGUGGCUAAACAAAUGUCCCCACCACCCCCCUUGCUGCCCUCUGCCUUUCCUUGAUGCUCCGCAGAACUGGUGCAUGGGAGGAGACCGCUGUGGCCUUGUGGAGAGUUUGAAGUGGAAACUUUUGGGGGAAUACUGAAAGUCACUAGCAAUCCAAAGGGAACGGUAAGUCCUUUUCUUCCCCUUCUCCUCCUGCUUUGUAGUUCACUUUUUAUAUAGUUUACUUUUUUUUCCCUUUUGCAGCAUUUCUGAUCAUGGUAUUCCGUGACAUUACCCCAUCACCUUCUUACUGUGAGCCAUCCCAUCCCUUCAAGGCAGAGGGCCAUGGUGGAGGUGUUGCCGCUCCUUUUCACAUGAGUCAAGGCAUAAGAAGAGCUCCUGUGAUUCCAUUUUCAGACAGACACAGUGAACUACAGAAGAAGCGUGAUUGCCUUUUGCCCUGGAAUCCAAAAGGCUCACAGUUUUCCUUUUCUUCAUUCCUGCUGAAUCCGGGGCACUGCGGGGCAAAGAAUGCAAGAUUCAUGGAGCCAGAAGAAGGGCACGAUUUUAUAUCCUCGCGGUCAGGACACUCAACAGAGGGGUCCUGGCCCUUGCCCUAAGGUUUGUUUCUGUUUAUUAUCCAGUGACAGGAUCAUAUAAAAUGCACAUAAAAUUG
rnacentral:lncRNA from 1 species